rnacentral:rRNA from 1 species
CGGAGGAAAAGAAACCAACAGGGAUUGCCUUAGUAACGGCGAGUGAAGCGGCAAAAGCUCAAAUUUGAAAUCUGGCACCUUCGGUGUCCGAGUUGUAAUUUGAAGAAGGUAACUUUGGAGUUGGCUCUUGUCUAUGUUCCUUGGAACAGGACGUCACAGAGGGUGAGAAUCCCGUGCGAUGAGAUGCCCAAUUCUAUGUAAAGUGCUUUCGAAGAGUCGAGUUGUUUGGGAAUGCAGCUCUAAGUGGGUGGUAAAUUCCAUCUAAAGCUAAAUAUUGGCGAGAGACCGAUAGCGAACAAGUACAGUGAUGGAAAGAUGAAAAGAACUUUGAAAAGAGAGUGAAAAAGUACGUGAAAUUGUUGAAAGGGAAGGGCUUGAGAUCAGACUUGGUAUUUUGCGAUCCUUUCCUUCUUGGUUGGGUUCCUCGCAGCUUACUGGGCCAGCAUCGGUUUGGAUGGUAGGAUAAUGACUAAGGAAUGUGGCUCUACUUCGGUGGAGUGUUAUAGCCUUGGUUGAUACUGCCUGUCUAGACCGAGGACUGCGUCUUUUGACUAGGAUGUUGGCAUAAUGAUCUUAAGCCACCC